UACAGAGGUCCCAAGCGUUUGUUCGGAUUCAUUGGGCGUAAAGGGUGCGUAGGCGGCGCGGUAAGUCGGGUGUGAAAUCUCGGGGCUUAACUCCGAAACUGCAUUCGAUACUGCCGUGCUUGAGGACUGGAGAGGAGACUGGAAUUUACGGUGUAGCGGUGAAAUGCGUAGAUAUCAGGAGGAACACCGGUGGCGAAAGGCGGGGUCUCUGGGCAACAACUGACGCUGAGGAGCGAAAGCGUGGGGAGCGAACAGG
rnacentral:rRNA from 1 species